GACGAACGCUGGCGGCGUGCCUAACACAUGCAAGUCGAACGCUGAAGCCCAGCUUGCUGGGUGGAUGAGUGGCGAACGGGUGAGUAACACGUGAGUAACCUGCCCCCUUCUUUGGGAUAACGCCCGGAAACGGGUGCUAAUACUGGAUAUUCACUGGCCUUCGCAUGGGGGUUGGUGGAAAGGUUUUUUCUGGUGGGGGAUGGGCUCGCGGCCUAUCAGCUUGUUGGUGGGGUGAUGGCCUACCAAGGCUUUGACGGGUAGCCGGCCUGAGAGGGUGACCGGUCACAUUGGGACUGAGAUACGGCCCAGACUCCUACGGGAGGCAGCAGUGGGGAAUAUUGCACAAUGGGCGAAAGCCUGAUGCAGCGACGCCGCGUGAGGGAUGACGGCCUUCGGGUUGUAAACCUCUUUCGCUCAUGGUCAAGCCGCAGCUUUGGGUUGUGGUGAGGGUAGUGGGUAAAGAAGCGCCGGCUAACUACGUGCCAGCAGCCGCGGUAAUACGUAGGGCGCGAGCGUUGUCCGGAAUUAUUGGGCGUAAAGGGCUUGUAGGCGGUUGGUCGCGUCUGCCGUGAAAUCCUCUGGCUUAACUGGGGGCGUGCGGUGGGUACGGGCUGACUUGAGUGCGGUAGGGGAGACUGGAACUCCUGGUGUAGCGGUGGAUGCGCAGAUAUCAGGAGAACACCGGUGGCGAUGCGGGUCUCUGGGCGUUACUGACGCUGAGGAGCGAAGCGUGGGGAGCGAACAGG
rnacentral:rRNA from 1 species